rnacentral:rRNA from 1 species
GACGAACGCUGGCGGCGUGCUUAACACAUGCAAGUCGAACGAUGAAGCUAGAGCUUGCUCUGGUGGAUUAGUGGCGAACGGGUGAGUAACACGUGAGUAACCUGCCCCGAACUCUGGGAUAACUGCUGGAAACGGUAGCUAAUACUGGAUACGACCAACGAAGGCAUCUUCUGUUGGUGGAAAGAAUUUCGGUUCGGGAUGGACUCUCGGCCUAUCAGCUUGUUGGUGAGGUAACGGCUCACCAAGGCGACGACGGGUAGCCGGCCUGAGAGGGUGAUCGGCCACACUGGGACUGAGACACGGCCCAGACUCCUACGGGAGGCAGCAGUGGGGAAUAGUGCACAAUGGGCGCAAGCCUGAUGCAGCGACGCCGCGUGAGGGAUGACGGCCUUCGGGUUGUAAACCUCUUUUAGUAGGGAAGAAGCGAAAGUGACGGUACCUGCAGAAAAAGCACCGGCUAACUACGUGCCAGCCGCCGCGGUAA